rnacentral:rRNA from 1 species
GCGCCUUGCCAGCCCGCUCAGAAACUUAAAGGAAUUGACGGGGGCCCGCACAAGCGGUGGAGCAUGUGGUUUAAUUCGAUGAUACGCGAGGAACCUUACCUGGGCUCAAAUGUAUGUUGACGUAUUUCUGAAAGGGAUACUUCUUCGGACAAUAUACAAGGUGCUGCAUGGUUGUCGUCAGCUCGUGCCGUGAGGUGUCGGGUUAAGUCCCAUAACGAGCGCAACCCCUAUCAUUAGUUGCCAUCAGGUCAAGCUGGGGACUCUAAUGAAACUGCCUACGCAAGUAGUGAGGAAGGUGGGGAUGACGUCAAAUCAGCACGGCCCUUACGUCCAGGGCUACACACGUGCUACAAUGGCCGGUACAAAGGGUUGCCAAGCCGCGAGGUGGAGCUAAUCCCAUAAAACCGAUCGUAGUCCGGAUCGCAGUCUGCAACUCGACUGCGUGAAGUCGGAAUCGCUAGUAAUCGUGAAUCAGAAUGUCACGGUGAAUACGUUCCCGGGCCUU